rnacentral:rRNA from 1 species
ACUGGCGGACGGGUGAGUAACACGUAGGUAACCUGCCCAGAAGCGGGGGACAACAUUUGGAAACAGAUGCUAAUACCGCAUAACAACGUUGUUCGCAUGAACAACGCUUAAAAGAUGGCUUCUCGCUAUCACUUCUGGAUGGACCUGCGGUGCAUUAGCUUGUUGGUGGGGUAACGGCCUACCAAGGCGAUGAUGCAUAGCCGAGUUGAGAGACUGAUCGGCCACAAUGGGACUGAGACACGGCCCAUACUCCUACGGGAGGCAGCAGUAGGGAAUCUUCCACAAUGGGCGCAAGCCUGAUGGAGCAACACCGCGUGAGUGAAGAAGGGUUUCGGCUCGUAAAGCUCUGUUGUUAAAGAAGAACACGUAUGAGAGUAACUGUUCAUACGUUGACGGUAUUUAACCAGAAAGUCACGGCUAACUACGUGCCAGCAGCCGCGGUAAUACGUAGGUGGCAAGCGUUAUCCGGAUUUAUUGGGCGUAAAGAGAGUGCAGGCGGUUUUCUAAGUCUGAUGUGAAAGCCUUCGGCUUAACCGGAGAAGUGCAUCGGAAACUGGAUAACUUGAGUGCAGAAGAGGGUAGUGGAACUCCAUGUGUAGCGGUGGAAUGCGUAGAUAUAUGG